GAUGAACGCUGGCGGCGUGCCUAAUACAUGCAAGUCGAGCGAAUGGAUUAAGAGCUUGCUCUUAUGAAGUUAGCGGCGGACGGGUGAGUAACACGUGGGUAACCUGCCCAUAAGACUGGGAUAACUCCGGGAAACCGGGGCUAAUACCGGAUAACAUUUUGAACCGCAUGGUUCGAAAUUGACAGGCGGCUUCGGCUGUCACUUAUGGAUUGACCCGUGUCGCAUUAGCUAGUUGGUGAGGUAACGGCUCACCAAGGCAACGAUGCGUAGCCGACCUGAGGGGGUGAUCGGCCACACUGGGACUGAGACACGGCCCAGACUCCUACGGGAGGAAGCAGUAGGGAAUCUGCCGCAAUGGACGAAAGUCUGACGGAGCAACGCCGCGUGAGUGAUGAAGGCUUUCGGGUCGUAAAACUCUGUUGUUAGGGAAGAACAAGUGCUAGUUGAAUAAGCUGACACCUUGACGGUACCUAACCAGAAAGCCACGGCUAACUACGUGCCAGCAGCCGCCGUAA
rnacentral:rRNA from 1 species